CAUCCAUCCAGGAGACUACACAGAAACAGAGAGGACUAUGUGGAAAGAAGUGCUGAGUUUGCAGAUGGUUUGCUCUCAAAAGCUUUGAAAGACAUUCAGUCUGGAGCACUGGACAUAAAUAAAGCAGGCAUACUUUAUGGCAUACCUCAAAAAACUUUACUUCUUCACUUAGAAGCCUUACCAGCAGGGAAGCCUGCAUCUUUUAAAAACAAAACUCGAGAUUUCCAUGAUAGUUAUUCAUAUAAGGACAGUAAAGAAACUUGUGCAGUGCUGCAAAAAGUAGCCUUGUGGGCAAGAGCUCAAGCAGAGCGCACAGAAAAAAGUAAACUCAAUCUACUUGAAACCUCAGAAAUAAAAUUCCCAACAGCUUCCACUUACCUCCAUCAGCUAACUCUACAGAAAAUGGUCACUCAGUUUAAAGAAAAAAAUGAAAGCCUCCAAUAUGAAACUUCAAAUCCUACUGUACAGUUAAAAAUUCCUCAGCUACGAGUAAGUUCUGUCUCAAAAUCACAACCUGAUGGUUCUGGUCUGUUGGAUGUUAUGUAUCAAGUUUCCAAAACCUCUUCAGUCCUAGAAGGAUCAGCUCUCCAAAAACUGAAAAAUAUACUCCCUAAACAGAACAAAAUAGAAUGUUCUGGGCCU
rnacentral:lncRNA from 1 species